rnacentral:lncRNA from 1 species
AAAAAUGAGUAUCGAUCUAAAGUUCAUCAUUCAAGGUAUGUGGGGUUUUUCAACAAGAACUCUCUUUUGUUCUUGUGCCCAAAAGUAAUUUUCUUUACAAAGGCAUGAUUUUUAUUUGAUUUUUAUGAAUUUGAAGCAUGAACCCAUAUCUUAUGAUGAUUAUUAUGAAAUCUUGAUGUUUAUGAUUUUGAAAGAUGAAUUUACAUGUGUG